rnacentral:lncRNA from 1 species
GAAGGUUCACGAAUCUGAAUACUCAAUAUAGUUGGAGUCUUGAUGACGGUAAAACAGGUGGUCUAACCGACACACGCGAUUACACGAAAGUAGCAAAGGCUAAACUUUAUCUAAUCAAAACCCAAGGCUCCAUAGGGGGGCUCAUGGGGUAUAAAUAGGAGGGGAACUAGGUGGUUUUCGGCCAGGCCCUUGUGGGAGUCCGAAACGGCCUAGGAAUCCUCCUAAAACACAACGAAAACAUCUAAAAAUUGGCUGGACCCUAUUACAUGGCCUUAGGCCCAAUAAAACAAGGUUAUAACCCUCAUCUUUGGCCCAUAGAUACCCAUUGGAGGGGGAAUCCUCCACUUGGCCGAAAUCCCAUUGAUGAAGAGGAUGCGGCCUUCUUCUCAUCUCUUUAUGGCGGUUUCAAUGUUCUGAAAUCAACACUUGAGCUACCUCCCACCACCUUGCUGCCACCUCCAUGGUUUGCUGUCCAACGCUGAUCCUUGAGGUCCAAGCUAGGUCCUUCAUUCCUAAAACACAUAAAAGAACCCAUCUUAGGCAGCAGCAUAUUCUCAUUAAUAUUAAAUGAAAUACCGAGGAACGAAAGUACCUGAUAAUUUAGUUGUCGUGCACGAG